rfam:Aedes albopictus isolate Foshan contig10783, whole genome shotgun sequence.
AGCUCAGUAGCUUAGUUGGAAAAGCACUUGUCUAGCGAAUAAGGGUCGUGAGUUCAAAUCUCAGCUGAGCUG